rnacentral:rRNA from 1 species
ACACGGACCAAGGAGUCUAGCAUGUGCGCGAGUCAUUGGGACGUUUAACGCUAAACCCAGAGGCGCAAUGAAAGUGAAAGGGCGCGCCUCGCGCGCGCCCACCAGGGAAGAUGCGCGGGCGUCCUCGCACGCCCCGCCGCAUUCCCGAGGCGUUUCGAGAAAGCCACCGCGCGACUAUCGAGACGCACUGAGAGCGUACACGCUGGGACCCGAAAGAUGGUGAACUAUGCCUGGUCAGGUCGAA